AGCCAAACAAAAAAUCUGGUCAGCGAAUCAAAUAAAGAAAGCCAAAGAAUUUGAGCAGGAGAAAGAGCAGUAUGACAAAGAGAAAGCUGAAUGGAUUGACAGGCUUCAACAGUUACAAGAAACCAAUUCAGCUCAAUCGAAAAAGAUCGAAGAUCAAGAUGCCAAAAUUCGUUUGUAUUGUUCUUCC
rnacentral:sRNA from 1 species